CCCUAGUAGUUAUUUGCGGAUCA
rnacentral:miRNA from 1 species